rnacentral:rRNA from 1 species
CGUAGUUUGACUCCGUGCUACAGAACGACGCUGGCGGCAUGCCUAACACAUGCAAGUCGAACGAGACCUUCGGGUCUAGUGGCGCACGGGUGCGUAACACGUGGGAAUUUGCCUCGGGGUAUGGAAUAACUCAGGGAAACUUGAGCUAAUACCAUAUAAUGUCUUCGGACCAAAGAUUUAUCGCCCUGAGAUAAGCCCGCGUAGGAUUAGCUAGUUGGUGGGGUAAAGGCUCACCAAGGCGACGAUCCUUAGCUGGUCUGAGAGGAUGAUCAGCCACACUGGGACUGAGACACGGCCCAGACUCCUACGGGAGGCAGCAGUGGGGGAAUAUUGGACAAUGGGCGAAAGCCUGAUCCAGCAAUGCCGCGUGAGUGAUGAAGGCCUUCGGGUUGUAAAGCUCUUUUACUCGGGACGAUAAUGACGGUACCGAGAGAAUAAGCCCCGGCUAACUCCGUG